rnacentral:misc_RNA from 1 species
CGAAGCCUGACGGAGCAAUACCGCGUGAGGGAAGAAGGCUUUUGGGUUGUAAACCUCUUUUGUCAGGGAAGAAGAAUUGACGGUACCUGAAGAAAAAGCAUCGGCUAACUCCGUGCCAGCAGCCGCGGUAAUACGGAGGAUGCAAGCGUUAUCCGGAAUCAUUGGGCGUAAAGGGUCCGCAGGUGGCGAAUAAAGUCUGCUGUUAAAGACCGGGGCUAAACUCCGGAAAGGCAGUGGAAACUGAUUAGCUAGAGUACGGUAGGGGUAGAGGGAAUUCCCAGUGUAGCGGUGAAAUGCGUAGAUAUUGGGAAGAACACCGGUGGCGAAAGCGCUCUACUAGGCCGAAACUGACACUGAGGGACGAAAGCUAGGGUAGCGAAAGGGAUUAGAUACCCCUGUAGUCUUAGCUGUAAACGAUGGAUACUAGGCGUAGCUUGUAUCGACCCGAGCUGUGCCGAAGCUAACGCGAUAAGUAUCCCGCCUGGGGAGUACGCACGCAAGUGUGAAACUCAAAGGAAUUGACGGGGGCCCGCACAAGCGGUGGAGUAUGUGGUUUAAUUCGAUGCAACGCGAAGAACCUUACCAGGGCUUGACAUGUCGCGAAUCUGGCGGAAACGUUAGAGUGCCUUAGGGAACGCGAACACAGGUGGUGCAUGGCUGUCGUCAGCUCGUGUCGUGAGAUGUUGGGUUAAGUCCCGCAACGAGCGCAACCCUCGUCCUUAGUUGCCAAUAUUAAGUUAGGCACUCUAGGGAGACUGCCGGGACAACUCGGAGGAAGGUGGGGAUGACGUCAAGUCAGCAUGCCCCUUACGUCCUGGGCGACACACGUACUACAAUGGUUGGGACAAAGGGCAGCAAGCUCGCGAGAGUAAGCGAACCUCAUCAAACCCAGCCACAGUUCAGAUUGCAGGCUGCAACUCGCCUGCAUGAAGUAGGAAUCGCUAGUAAUCGCAGGUCAGCAUACUGCGGUGAAUUCGUUCCCGGGCCUUGUACACACCGCCCGUCACACCAUGGAAGCUGGCUACGCCCGAAGUCGUUACCCUAACCCGGUUUUGGGAGGGGGAUGCCGAAGGUAGAGCUAGUGACUGGGGUGAAGUCGUAACAAGGUAGCCGUACCGGAAGGUGUGGCUGGAUCACCUCCUUUACAGGGAGACCUAGUCUAAUUACCAAUAGAUAAAAAAGUUGGUAAUUAGCAAGAAUCCUUAGGUCGUGAAGGGAGCAAGAAAAAACUUUCAAACUGUAAUAGGCGAGGGUAAAUGGGCUAUUAGCUCAGGUGGUUAGAGCGCACCCCUGAUAAGGGUGAGGUCCCUGGUCCAAGUCCAGGAUGGCCCACCUGAAAGACACAGGCAGGAUGCCUGUCCCACAAAAAAAGGAAAAAAUUUUAGCAUUGUCUCCUGUAAUCAAGAGCAAGAGACAAUGCUGGAAUAGAUUCCAGCAAGAACCUUGAAAACUGCAUAGAACUAGAAAGAAAAAGUCAGGUAAGAAAUCCUACAAGCUAGAGCUAGAAAGAGCAAAAGGU